AAAGGUGGUUAAACUUUUAUUUACAAUAAGAAAUACCUUCGGGCACCUUUG
rnacentral:tRNA from 1 species